rnacentral:rRNA from 1 species
CGGAGAGGGCGCAUGAGAAACGGCCACCACUUCUAAGGAAGGCAGCAGGCGCGCAAAUUACCCAAUCCUGACUCAGGGAGGUAGUGACAAGAAAUAACAAUAAACCGGCUUAUGCCGGUUUAAUUGGAAUGAGUACAAUUUAAACAUCUUAACGAGGAACAAUUGGAGGGCAAGUCUGGUGCCAGCAGCCGCGGUAAUUCCAGCUCCAAUAGCGUAUACUAAAGUUGUUGCAGUUAAAAAGCUCGUAGUUGGAUUUCUGCGGGGACGGAGCGGCCGGUCGCAACUUGCGACUCGAGCUAGCGCUUUCCCCGCAUCCUGCCGCGAACCGUGCUACCAUUAGUUUGGUGGCGCUGGGGAUCGGCUCGAUUACUUUGAGAAAAAUAGAGUGUUCAAAGCAGGCCACAUGCCUUGAAUAAGUUAGCAUGGAAUAAUGACUAAGGACUUCGGUUCUAUUUUGUUGGUGUUCGGGACUGAAGUAAUGAUUGAUAGGGACAGUUGGGGUGGUCUGUAUUCCAAAGCGAGAGGUGAAAUUCUUAGACCUUCGGAAGACAAACAGCUGCGAAAGCGUUCCGCAAGGAUGUUCCCUUUGAUCAAGAACGAAAGUUGGGGGAUCGAAGACGAUCAGAUACCGUCGUAGUCUCAACUAUAAACUAUACCAGCUAGGGAUCGGCCAACGUUUAAUUAAUCGACUUGGUCGGCACCUUAUGAGAAAUCAAAGCAUCUGGGUUCUGGGGGGAGUAUGGUCGUAAGGCUGAAACUUAAAGGAAUUGACGGAAGGGCACCACCAGCCGUGGAGCCUGUGGCUUAAUUUGACUCAACACGGGAAAACUUACCAGGUCCAGACAUAGGAAGGAUUGACAGAUUGAUAGCUCUUUCUUGAUUCUGUGGGUGGUGGUGCAUGGCCGUUUUUAGUUGGUGGAGUGAUUUGUCUGCUUAAUUGCGUUAACGAACGAGACCCCAGCCUGCUAAAUAGCGCGGCCGAGCUUUGCUCGGUGCGAGCUUCUUAGAGGGACCAUGAUGCGCGAUAGCACAAGGAAGUUUGGGGCAACAACAGGUCUGUGAUGCCCUUAGAUGUUCUGGGCCGCACACGGGCUACACUGGCGCCUGCAACGAGCAUAUCAGCUGGCCCGAGAGGGUCUUGGCUAAUCUUUUGAACCGGCGCCGUGCUUGGGAUUGACCUUUGCAAUUGUUGGUCAUGCAACGAGGAAUGCCUUGUAAACGCGAGUCAUCAGCUCGCAUUGAAUACGUCCCUGCUCUUUGUACACAUCGCCCGUCGUUCCUACCGAUGAAUGUUCCGAUGAAAUUUUCGGAGAGCGCCAGAGAACGGGGCUCCGCCUUGCAGAUCUGGAGGCUCAAAGUCACUUAAAUCUGAACAUUUCGAGGAAGGAGAAGUCGUAACGAGGUAACC